CCUACGGGCGGCAGCAGUGAGGAAUAUUGGUCAAUGGCCGUAAGCCUGAACCAGCCAAGUCGCGUGAAGGAAGAAGGCUCUAUGGGUUGUAAACUUCUUUUAUAGGGGAAUAAAGUGAUCCACGUGUGCCUUUUUGCAUGUACUUUAUGAAUAAGCAUCGGCUAACUCCGUGCCAGCAGCCGCGGUAAUACGGAGGAUGCGAGCGUUAUCCGGAUUUAUUGGGUUUAAAGGGUGCGUAGAUUGUUUUUUAAGUCAGUUGUGAAAGUUUGCGGCUCAACCGUAAAAUUGCAGUUGAGACUGGCAGCCUUGAGUAUGGUUGAGGUAGGCGGAAUGCGUGGUGUAGCGGUGAAAUGCAUAGAUAUCACGAAGAACUCCGAUUGCGAAGGCAGCUUACUAAGCUGUCACUGACAUUGAUGCACGAAAGUGUGGGGAUCAAACAGGAUUAGAUACCCGGGUAGUC
rnacentral:rRNA from 1 species